AUAUAUGAUAUAAUAACGAAACUAUAUAAGUUCCAAAUAAUAAUCCUCCUCCAACAAUGGUUAGAUUAUUUUAUUGAAAACGUUAAAAGCUCAACAAACACAUUUCAUGAACUACAAAAAUAAAUUAACACAUUAAACUUAAUCUAAUACUAUUAGGGUCUUACAUAUAACCAAAGUACAAGAAGUCAAAUGAAUGUUAAAUCCAAUGCCGCUAAAGAAGAUAGUGUUAUCAACCAAUGCCUUUUUUGUUUUAUGGUCCAUGUUACAACCACGCAUUAGUUAAACUAUUAUGUACCUAAACCUCAAUUGAUAAAAACAUGAAAAUUAAAGAUAAUAAUAAGUGAUGCUUAUAUAAUGGCCGCAAAUUGUUCAAACGUAAAAAAUAAAAAAUACGAAAAUAAACUCUAACUA